AGUGAACGCUGGCGGUAGGCCUAACACAUGCAAGUCGAACGGCAGCACAGUAAGAGCUUGCUCUUACGGGUGGCGAGUGGCGGACGGGUGAGGAAUACAUCGGAAUCUACUUUUUCGUGGGGGAUAACGUAGUGAAACUUACGCUAAUACCGCAUACGACCUACGGGUGAAAGCAGGGGAUCUUCGGACCUUGCGCGAUUGAAUGAGCCGAUGUCGGAUUAGCUAGUUGGCGGGGUAAAGGCCCACCAAGGCGACGAUCCGUAGCUGGUCUGAGAGGAUGAUCAGCCACACUGGAACUGAGAAACGGUCCAGACUCCUACGGGAGGCAGCAGUGGGGAAUAUUGGACAAUGGGCGCAAGCCUGAUCCAGCCAUACCGCGUGGGUGAAGAAGGCCUUCGGGUUGUAAAGCCCUUUUGUUGGGAAAGAAAAGCAGCAGGUUAAUACCCCGCUGUUCUGACGGUACCCAAAGAAUAAGCACCGGCUAACUUCGUG
rnacentral:rRNA from 1 species